AGAGGCGUUGGAAGCCCCUUUGCUUCUUAGCUUCAUGGUAGCGAACUCGGGCCCUUCCUCUAGCGCCAACUGUUGCUGGAAAUUGGACCCGGGGGCCGCCGUGAAGCCGGAGAAGGAGGAGCUCCGCUGCUGCAGGGGGCGGACGGCGGUGCGCCGGCUGGCUGCGUCCUCCGCUGCGGGGGGGUGUGCAAGUCCUGCAAAGAAAACCAGUGGCCGAGCUCCCCGGCGCCGGCCCUCCGAUGCCUAAGUCAGAGGGGGCAAGUAUGUGGAGAGAGCAGGGGAGAGAGUAUGUGGAGAAGACAAAGAGAAUCUCGUGUUCAAUUGUGUCUGUGCUGUUUUCUUCCUUUUUCCCCCGGUCUAGGAGGGUUCUCUCCAGCUCCGGGUUUUUUCUCUGGUUUUUGGUCCUCCCUCCCUUUUCCCUCCAGGUUUCCUUUUAUAGGAGGAUUUUUGUUACCUGGGAGGUGACAGGAGGUUUGUCCUGUUUUGUAAUAAUUGGGCACGAUUUGGCCUAUUAAUGGCGUAAUGGAGAACGGGACUGGAUCAGACCGGAAUCAGAGAGUUGUCACGGUCGAUCGGACCUGUUGGAGUGGUUGAACCGCCGGCUGUGGUGGGCCUGGGGUCCGUGGAUGGUAAGUGCAUUUAU
rnacentral:lncRNA from 1 species